UGCCCGGCCAACCCCUCUAGAAUGCAAGUCCCUGCCAUCGACUCUAGUAGGUGUUCUUCUGUGUGCUCUGUUGGGUGGGUGAGUGAAGUACUUGGAUAAAGCUGAACAAGGAAAUAGCUAAAAAUGCUUGGGAAAUGCGUGGGAGUGCGU